rnacentral:rRNA from 1 species
GAGUCUGCUUCUUAGGUGACCUGCGGAAGGAUCAUUA